AUUGUGUCGCGGCUAGCCGCUCCAGUAUUGCCCGAUUCACUCUAGAGUCUAGAUUCUAGACCGUGCGUUCGCUGCUGCAAGCUUGUGGCAACAUUACUGCAAGCUUGUGAUAACGUUGCUGCAAGCUUGUGGCAACGUUGCGCGGCUCGCGUUUUCAUUUGCUGCAUAAAGCGCAAUUUUGUGGGGAAAAAAUGGUUUUUAUCUGUGCGUCUAUGUUCUUACGAUGGGAAAACAUUUCUUUAAGUUGUUGAAGCGUAUUUUUAUGGUGGAGUUGAGAUCUGAUUGCUGUCGGGGCUAUGAUGAAUACCGAAAAUAUACAAGACUUGAAGAAUAUUGAUAGUAGCAUGAACGUCACGAGAAUUAAUACAACGAAAAAGCACGUGUACAGGAAAAAAAAAAUAUCGAUUUCCAGGUCAAAGGAUCAGACAGUCUUGGAGAUGUUGUCUCGAUCAGCAAAAUCGAGGAACUGAAUGGACUCCUCAUCCUUGCCGAGUGAAAAGGGAAGGCCUGAAAGGAAUCCGAGGUAACUAUACACCUGGAAUGCAACAAUGAAGGGACGUGACGUAGCGAAUACCUGGUGAGUCAGCACGAAACAACUUUUUGACCAUCGGCUGUUAGAAAGACGAGAAAGAAUAGCCCAGAAGGAACAACAGCGAUUCCAAUAGCUCCUCGCCUUUGAUCGCUAUUUCGAUGAAAACAAUUAUUUUUAUUCUGCUAUUUUGAGGGAUAUUUUAAUGACUGGAGGAAUAAUUUGCCGCGGUAACCUCGAAGGAAGGCCACUUGCUCUCACUGUUUCUUUUCAUCAAGGAAGAGGCAUUCAAGGUACUUUCCAAUCGAUUACAUGAUCGAAUCGACGAGAAAUACUAGACGCAGUGAUAUAACAUCACUCCCUCAGGGACAUGCAAUCCUUUUCGCGAUCCUCAGCUCAUCGAUAUUCAAUGAAUCGACGAGAAACAUGUAUGCAAAAAUCACAGGUUCUUGUAUUUCUACCCUGAGGAUUAGACAAAUCCUGUUGUAUUACA